rnacentral:rRNA from 1 species
GACGAACGCUGGCGGCGUGCUUAACACAUGCAAGUCGAACGGAAAGGCCCUGCUUUUGUGGGGUGCUCGAGUGGCGAACGGGUGAGUAACACGUGAGUAACCUGCCCUUGACUUUGGGAUAACUUCAGGAAACUGGGGCUAAUACCGGAUAGGAGCUCCUGCUGCAUGGUGGGGGUUGGAAAGUUUCGGCGGUUGGGGAUGGACUCGCGGCUUAUCAGCUUGUUGGUGGGGUAGUGGCUUACCAAGGCUUUGACGGGUAGCCGGCCUGAGAGGGUGACCGGCCACAUUGGGACUGAGAUACGGCCCAGACUCCUACGGGAGGCAGCAGUGGGGAAUAUUGCACAAUGGGCGGAAGCCUGAUGCAGCAACGCCGCGUGCGGGAUGACGGCUUUCGGGUUGUAAACCGCUUUCGCCUGUGACGAAGCGUGAGUGACGGUAAUGGGUAAAGAAGCACCGGCUAACUACGUG